rnacentral:rRNA from 1 species
CUAAGAAUAUUCCGCAAUGGACGAAGGUCUGACGGAGCGACGCCGCGUGGAUGAUGAAGGCCGGAAGGUUGUAAAAUCCUUUUAUGACUGAGGAAUAAGUGAAGUGAGGGAAACGCUUCAUGGUGACUGUAGGUCAUGAAUAAGCAACGGCUAAUUACGUGCCAGCAGCCGCGGUAACACGUAAGUUGCGAGCGUUGUUCGGAAUUAUUGGGCGUAAAGGGUAUGUAGGCGGUUCUGCAAGUCUGGUGUGAAAUGCCGGGGCUCAACCCCGGAACUGCGUUGGAAACUGCAGGACUUGAAUCGCUGAGGGGCAGCCAGAAUUCCAGGUGUAGGGGUGAAAUCUGUAGAGAUCACCAAGAAUACCCAUUGCGAAGGCGAUCUGCUAGAACUCAACUGACGCUAAUGCGUGAA